rnacentral:rRNA from 1 species
UGGGGAAUUUUGGACAAUGGGGGAAACCCUGAUCCAGCCAUCCCGCGUGUGCGAUGAAGGCCUUCGGGUUGUAAAGCACUUUUGGCAGGAAAGAAACGUCAUGGGUUAAUACCCCGUGAAACUGACGGUACCUGCAGAAUAAGCACCGGCUAACUACGUGCCAGCAGCCGCGGUAAUACGUAGGGUGCAAGCGUUAAUCGGAAUUACUGGGCGUAAAGCGUGCGCAGGCGGUUCGGAAAGAAAGAUGUGAAAUCCCAGAGCUCAACUUUGGAACUGCAUUUUUAACUACCGGGCUAGAGUGUGUCAGAGGGGGGUGGAAUUCCGCGUGUAGCAGUGAAAUGCGUAGAUAUGCGGAGGAACACCGAUGGCGAAGGCAGCCUCCUGGGAUAACACUGACGCUCAUGCACGAAGGCGUGGGGAGCAAACAGG